ACAUAUAGAGGUGUGCUCAUGUGCAUCUCUUCCCUCACGUAGACCCAGAUAUACAUAUUGCAUGAGGUGCGGUGUGGACGCCACCUUUACCACCGCAACCAUUCGGAAAAAGAAACGAGGCCAAAGUAUUCCCCUCGUGUAUCUGUGCGCACGCCUCUUCCUUUGCCUUUUCUCGCGUCUUCUCUUUGACCGUUCUGCUUCUUCUGCGGUGUUUCUCUUCCUCAGCCACCGUCCUCCGCCACUUUUUUGUCUGCUGUUGCUUGAUUUGGCCGUGAUUCGCGGCGUACGCACUUUUUUCUCACGGCCUUCUCUCUCUCUCUGCGUCCUCCCUUCUCGGCUUCUCUUGCCAGUCAACACACUCCUACACGCGUUCUCUGUUGAGCACGGUGCCGGGGAGGCGGUGCAGAUACGGCUUCGAUUGUUUGCGUGCGAGUGCCCCUGAGAACGACGGCACUGCACGACGUAGCCCUCCCUCUUCUAGACCUUCAAUCCUUUCGUAUACCCUCUUACUCGCUCACAGAGCAGCAGCGCGGCAUCAGUCUUGGUAUUCUCUCUCUCGGAUGAGGCGGCGCUCUCCAAUAUACCCCACCUGCAUUGUUGCCGAGCGUUCUUCGAUGGCGACGGUCGGGAUACGCACAGCCUGAGCACAGCGUCGAUUGUAGCGUAUCGUGCGUCCACCUCUGCCCUCCCCCUCUCUCUAUACAGAGCAACGCCCUCUCCGUCUUGGUCAGCUCGCGGCACUGUUGCGAGCCGACGAAUUCGAGCUGCGCAAUUUUGUUUGGGUGAACACAGGGAUCAGAGUGGCUUACGGGCUCAUCUGCACACACGCACACACACAAAAAAAACACACACACUCUUCUUCUCCAUUUACCUUCCACUGUCGGCCACUUGCAUCGCUCUCCAUCGUUCUCGCUAGCCGAGUAGCGUGUGUGUGUGUGUGUGCUGGCGGGCUCUCGUUGUGUUGCCGGCAUGCUAACAGCCACACACCAAAUGUUCGUCGCGACAUCAGUGCCUAUCAGCCACUUUGCUGGCCCCUCCUCCGCUCAGGACUUCACGCGGGUGCCAUCGCCACCGUUGACGACGCUGGCGUUGACCCACAAGGAGGCUGCUCGCGAAGGCGUUGCUGUCAGCGCCGCAUGCACCGAAGAUGCCAAAAAUGGCACUGGGAAUGGUGGCAUAGCCGGUGUUGCGUGGUGCAACGGGAACAGCAGUGGCAGGCCGUAUCCCCGCGGCGGCGGCGGCGAUCCAGCUGCCAAUGGCACUGCUAGUGGUAAGUCGAGGCCAAUCUCGCUGGGUAUCGUUUUGAAAGGCCCCGACAGAGAGAGGGAGAGCAACCUGUCAGACGUCGCGGAAAACUCAGAUGGCCUCGGCACAGAUGCUCCCCAAGUCGGCGGCACCGUCGAGUUGGCAACCAAGGUUCCCAUGACGAUCGUGACGCCGGCGGGAGUUUCAGGCGACGUGGUGGCGUCGCCGCUCACGGUGCACGAAAAUCUCGUGCAGUGGCGCCGCCCGCAGCGGACGGUUGCAUUUCGUGAGUGGUACAUCUCCUGCUUCUGUAACGAGCAGCAGGUGUGGUGGAUCGAGAAGGUGCAGCGCAUAGGUAAUCCACUGCAGCCGCUGCUCGUACCCUACUUCCAGUUGUGGAGUUUCACCGGCGAGGCCGAGUUCUACAUGCUGUUCAUUCCGACGACGGCCUGGCUCGGUGCGCCGCUCAGCAGUGUGCAAAUCGAGUCGAUGCUAUGGGUAGGUCAGUACGUGACCGGCAUCAUGAAGGACGCUUUCUGCUGCCCACGUCCGCCAUGUCCACCGCUUCAGCUGCACGGCAAGCGGGACACUCACGACAACGAGUACGGCUUCCCAAGCACCCACUCCUGCCAAAGCGGCGUCUUCUCCUUCUUUCUGUACUGCAAACUGGUGCACGUCUUCCCUGAUCACGCCUUCCUGUGCUGGCUGGCGGCCGUUUGCUACUUCGCGCACGUCAGUUUCUCGCGCAUCUACCUGGGCAUGCACUGGGUCGGUGACUUGAUUGGUGGCGGUGUGGUGGCCUUCCUUACUGUUCUCUCCCACGUCGCCUUUCUCGAUCGGUGGGAGGCCAGCAUCCUGCAGCGUGCCGACACGCCGUGGUGGGCGUACCUGCUUUUGUACGUCACCGUGCACCUGCUCUCCAUGGCCCAUGCUACACCCCAUGACCCGUGCCCGUGCUACAUUGAUAGCCUGCGCUUCACUGGUGCGGUGAUGGGCUCUACGAUCGGCCUCUGGAAAUUCUACGCGAUCUACGGUACCCUGGCGGCACGCCCGCAACCCGACCACAUGCUCGACAUGGUAUUCUCUCUCAGCUUUCUGAUGCAGUGGGUCGUGUGCAUGGUCGUUGUCUUUGCCAGCAGGGAGCUGUCGUCGCUCAUCGCCGCUGUUGUAUUGAAGGCGGUCUUCAAGUUCUUGUCGGGUGAGUGCGCGGCGCGGUUGCCCAAGUCGCUUCAGCAGCUCUACUUGGCCAUGGCGAAAGUGGUCGGCCUGACCACGCUUGGCAACGAGCGAGGCUCACGCUCCUGCAUCCCCGUCACCGCCAACAGUACUCUCUUCAUGCAAAGUGACCGCUUCCACGACGGAUUUGGCCAAGACGGGAAAGCCGCCGCGGCCGCCGCUGGCGGCAGGAACGCGUCGAAUUCACGCAGCAACACAGAAACGGUAGAGGAACCGGACGGGUACUUGAACACUCAGCAAGUCUGGUCGCUCCGCACUCACCGACACUGGUGGCUUUGGGACGUACACGGGCGCACCGUUUCCUACGCUGUCAUGGGCUUCGUGGCCACAUUUGUGUGCCAGGUGCUCUUGAGGGAAACGUUUGGGGUUGGCCAGGAGCUUACCGGCCCGGCAGCGCAUCAUCCGGGGUCACCACCACCGUCGCCAGAGUGAACUACGAAGAAGGAGAGAAGCUGCGCGAUGCGGCGGCGGGGGAUGGCGGCGCGACUGCUAUCGUUAUUGCUUCUGUCUUUGUGCGUGUGUGUGUGUGUGUGUGUGUGUCGGUGUGAUUGCGUUUAUUUUCCCUUCUUCGCUUCGUUGUACGAGUGGAAGAGCUUCCUCUCCUAUCCCCUUCCCUCUUCAUUGCCUCCGCCUCAUUCGUGCGCGUGAGAGGUGUCUAUCUCUGCCUGUCACUUCGUGCACGCACCAUGCGAGGAGACUGACAUAGAUCGAGGCGUUUUUUUUUUUGCGUGCACGCAUGUGGAGACGCGACAAGCACUUCCUUAUACGUUCCUUUUUGUCUUUUGUGCCCUUCCCCUCCCUCACCUCGCUGUCCACCUGUGCUCUCUCAUGCCAUUGCACACGCAUCUUUUCUUCUCAUUACUUUCCGCGUCAUGAGCCGUGGUGCAGAGGAGGCGAGUGAGAGAUGUGCUUGUGUCAUGCGCGUAUGCACGUUGACUUGUUCGUCCGUGGUGCGGCCCUGUUCAACAGUAAACACACGUCAAGGCGGACAAGACACAACGCACUUUUCACACCACUCACACAGACACGAACAAGAGGACGCAGGCGCGUCCAUUUUUUUUCUUCGCUUCCUCUUUUUUUUACUUUUUACGGGCUGCGCUGCUCUAUGUCUAUCUUUUUUUUGUUGUUUUCCUUCUGCCGUCCCUGCAGUUGCGACUUCUCUCUCGCGCUACUCGGACCACCCUUUCCUCAAUCUUGCUUUGUGGCGACGAGCUCCUCGCCGCUCCCCCUCUCUGCACAUGCACACGCACUCAUACGCGCGCGCGUGCAUGCGUGCGCCCACGUCUUUUCCGCUCUAUCUUCUCUGUGUUUUCCUACGUUCUCCUCCUCGCGUCCUCGCGUCCUCCGUCUCUCCCUUCCUCCGUCUGUAUCGGCGCCUCCCCAGACAGGACUGCAUCUCCUUUACGCGGACAAGGCUACAUUUUUGUUGUUGUUUGAGUGUGUCUGUGCGUCUGCCAGCGCGUAGGUGCCCUGCAUCUUGUUCGCGCACGUAUAAAUUUGCUACGAGGUGCCUACCUGCGUAGCGAAUGCCUUCCCUCGGACCCAUGAAUGCGGACCACAAACUCCGCACUCUUCUUACGUUUUCUUGUGCUCCUCUCUUCUUCCCAAGAAGGCGCGUGAGCGCUCCAGCUUCCCUUCUCCCUCCACCUGCGCAGAGGAGACAUAGUCGCUCCUGUGCUGCGCUCUUUUCACCGGCCUUUAGCCGCUUAUCGGGGGACAUGACGGUGCGUCGCGAUCGGGAGAUGAUGGACUUUUAUUCGCCCAGUGGAAGCCAUGACUCUAUGCCACCUACCAGGGCUGCUUCCAGUUUCCGUCUUCGCUGCGCAUGGGCCCCGCUGCCGUUAUGGUGCCUUCUCGCCCGUCACUUCUACGGUUUAUGUCUUUAUAGUACGUCCCACCUCCCAUCCCGACUUUCCCCUUCACGUCUCCACCCGGUGGGACAGGAAGAUAGAAGGGCAGGUGGCACGGAAGCCUCGCCAGGACAAGCAAACACAUCGUAUACGCGCAUCUGCGCUCUUGUACAAGAGGACGCUCUCUAUUCGCGCUGACAUGGCCUCCGUGUCCGCGGCGCAGCUGAACACACUUCAGCAGUCGAAUGGGCUGGGACGAAUGGGGCGGACUCGCUAAGGACCUCGGAGCAACUCACUCUCCCGCUUCUUCCAUCUCUCUCCCGCCUCUCUCACGCACGCUGGCAAAGGAAAGGGAAGUAAUCGUAUACGUUUGUGUACGUGCUGCGGCCGAUAGGGGAGGAGUCGGUAGCUUGCCUUCUGGUCUGGUAGCGGCGUCGACUGGCAAUAAAGGACGUGGGUGAAGAGAGGAGAGAAGGCGGGAGCGGCUGUGCCCAUCUCCUCAUGGCCAUCCCCUCUCCUCCCUGUCCGCUCAUCCCUAAUCUGCAGGUUGUCGAUGAUGGAUGCAAGCGAGCGACUUCUAGUGAGGCCCGCAGCCCGUUCGACCACUCCGCUUGUGAAGUUUGUGUUUACCUUCUCUCAACUCUUCUCGUACGGCUAUCGACCAUCAG
rnacentral:misc_RNA from 1 species